CAGCCCUAAACGAUGCGCGUUAGGUGUAUCGGUGACCACGAGUCACCGAGGUGCCGAAGGGAAACCGUGAAACGUGCCGCCUGGGAAGUACGGUCGCAAGGCUGAAACUUAAAGGAAUUGGCGGGGGAGCACCGCAGCGGGUGGAGCCUGCGGUUUAAUUGGACUCAACGCCGGGAAGCUCACCGGAUAAGACAGCGGAAUGAUUGCCGGGCUGAAGACCCUGCAUGACCAGCUGAGAGGAGGUGCAUGGCGUGUGACUGU
rnacentral:rRNA from 1 species